CGCGUAGGUGGUUUGUUAAGUCGGAUGUGAAAGCCCCGGGCUCAACCUGGGAAUUGCACCCGAUACUGGCCGACUAGAGUGCGGGAGAGGGAGGUAGAAUUCCACGUGUAGCGGUGAAAUGCGUAGAUAUGUGGAGGAAUACCGGUGGCGAAGGCGGCCUCCUGGCCUGACACUGACGCUGAGGUGCGAAAGCGUGGGGAGCAAACA
rnacentral:rRNA from 1 species